GUGAUGACGGCUCACAACGGAUAACAUGUCCGCAGUGGCCAGGGCUGA
rnacentral:snoRNA from 1 species